CCUACGGGUGGCUGCAGUGGGGAAUAUUGGACAAUGGGGGCAACCCUGAUCCGGCCAUGCCGCGUGUGUGAAGAAGGCCCUCGGGUUGUAAAGCACUUUCAGUGAGGAAGAACGCCUGGUGGUUAAUACCCAUCAGGAAAGACAUCACUCACAGAAGAAGCACCGGCUAACUCCGUGCCAGCAGCCGCGGUAAUACGGAGGGUGCGAGCGUUAAUCGGAAUUACUGGGCGUAAAGCGCGCGUAGGUGGCUUGAUAAGCCGGUUGUGAAAGCCCCGGGCUCAACCUGGGAACGGCAUCCGGAACUGGCAAGCUAGAGUGCAGGAGAGGAAGGUAGAAUUCCCGGUGUAGCGGUGAAAUGCGUAGAGAUCGGGAGGAAUACCAGUGGCGAAGGCGGCCUUCUGGACUGACACUGACACUGAGGUGCGAAAGCGUGGGUAGCAAACAGGAUUAGAUACCCCAGUAGUC
rnacentral:rRNA from 1 species